rnacentral:snRNA from 1 species
UUGCUGCUGGAGGGCCAGAUAGGUCAAACGUGAGCCCACUAAAGUCUGAAGCCCGUGGCCUGGGUCAAUGGCCCACAUUGCACUUGGUGGGUGCGUUGGCCCAUCAUCUCCCCAAGUGGGAGAAUGAACGUCAUAAUUUGUGAUAAUGGGGGUACGCGUUCGCGCGGCCCCUGC